AUCAACGGUUAUCGGUUAGGGAUGGGCAUGCGCCCCAUUAGUUAGUUGGUCAGGUAACGGCUAACCAAGACUGUGAUGGGUAGGGGUUCUGAGAGGAUAAUCCCCCACACUGGUACUGAGACACGGACCAGACUCCUACGGGAGGCAGCAGUAAGGAAUAUCGGGCAAUGGACGCAAGUCUGACCCAGCCAUGCCGCGUGCAGGAUGACGGCCUUAUGGGCUGUAAACUGCUUUUGUAUGGGAUUAAAGUGUUGUACGUGUACGACAUUGCAAGUACCAUACGAAUAAGCAUCGGCUAACUCCGUGCCAGCAGCCGCGGUAAUACGGAGGAUGCAAGCGUUAUCCGGAAUCAUUGGGUUUAAAGGGUGCGUAGGUAGAUUAUCACGUCAGUGGUGAAAAUUCCGGGCUCAACCCGGGACUUGCCGUUGAAACUGAUACUCUUGAGUGUAACUGAUGUGGGCGGAAUGUGUCCCGUACCGGUGAAAUGCUUCGAUUUGACCCGGCACACCGAUAGCGAAGGGCGUCUCACAAAUUACAACUGACACUGAUGCACCAAAGCGUGGGUAUCACACAGGAUUAGAUACACUGGUACUCCACGCUGUAACGGAUGAUCACUAGCUGUUUGCGAUACAUUGUAAGUGGUUAAGCGAAAGCGAUAAGUGAUCCACCUGGGGAGUACGUCGGCAACGAUGAAACUCAAAGGAAUUGACGGGGGCCCGCACAAUCGGAGGAGCAUGUGGUUUAAUUCGAUGAUACGCGAGGAACCUUACCUGGGCUUGAACGUAUGGUGCAUGAGUGUGAAAGCACUCUUUCCUUCACAGGACUUCAUACGAGGUGCUGCAUGGUUGUCGUCAGCUCGUGCCGUGAGGUGUUAGGUUAAGUCCUGCAACGAGCGCAACCCCUGUUUUUAGUUGCCAGCAGGUUAUGCUGGGCACUCUAGAAAGACUGCCUGCGCAAGCAGAGAGGAAGGUGGGGAUGACGUCAAAUCAGCACGGCCCUUACGUCCAGGGCUACACACGUGCUACAAUGGUCGGCACAGAGGGUGGCUACCCGGCAACGGGAUGCUAAUCUCCAAAGUCGAUCUUAGUUCGGAUCGAAGUCUGCAACUCGACUUCGUGAAGUUGAUUCGCUAGUAAUCGUAUAUCAGCCAUAUACGGUGAUACGUUCCCGGG
rnacentral:rRNA from 1 species